rnacentral:lncRNA from 1 species
AGCCGAGUUCUUCAACCCUGUGGGAAGCGUCAAAGACCGUGUAGCCGUUAAAAUCAUUGAAGAGGUGACGAUCCUAUCUCCUUUUUCCUUGAAAAUAUUCUUUUUUUUUUUUCUUUCUUCUUUGCUGCCUCCCUUUUCCCUUCAAAUAAAAAAAAAAGAAAGAAAAUAUUCAUUUUUUUUUUCUCCAUGUAAUUGUUUCCAUAUUAGAAGGAAAGCACGACUUAGCAGUGAAAAAUGCAACCUUAUGAACACAGCAGGCUUUCUCUUUCCCGUGGGUUGUUCUUCAAUUUUUUUUUCAAAUAAACCCUACGUUCUUCAACUUUUUUGUUUUUCAUUACUUAUAAUAUCAGAGAGGUGCUUCUUUUCAAAACAAAAGCAGAAUUUCUAUGAUUAUCUUUCUCCUUUCCAGUUCUGCAGAGUUGCUCUGUCCUCUUAUGCAUUUAGUUAUAAUCUUUAUGAGUUGUAUGAUGCUCUGUG